AAGUUUAGGUUAAACAAACCAAAGACCUUCAAAGUCUAAAAUAAGCCCAUAUCGCUUAACUUCU
rnacentral:tRNA from 1 species